rnacentral:rRNA from 1 species
GACGAACGCUGGCGGCGUGCUUAACACAUGCAAGUCGAACGGAAAGGCCCUGCUUUUGUGGGGUGCUCGAGUGGCGAACGGGUGAGUAACACGUGAGUAACCUGCCCUUGACUUUGGGAUAACUUCAGGAAACUGGGGCUAAUACCGGAUAGGAGCUCCUGCUGCAUGGUGGGGGUUGGAAAGUUUCGGCGGUGGGGGAUGGACUGGCGGCUUAUCAGCUGGUUGGUGGGGUAGUGGCUUACCAAGGCUUUGACGGGUAGCCGGCCUGAGAGGGUGAACGGCGACAAUGGGACUGAGAUACGGCCCAGACGCCUACGGGAGGCAGCAGUGGGGAAUAUUGCACAACGGGGGGAAGCGUGAGGCAGCAACGCCGCGUGCGGGAUGACGGCCUUCGGGUGGUAAACCGCUUUCGCCGGUGACGAAGCGGGAGUGACGGUAAUGGGUAAAGAAGCACCGGCUAACUACGUG